rnacentral:rRNA from 1 species
CACGUAGGCACCAAGCGUUAUCCGGAUUUAUUGGGCGUAAAGAGCUCGUAGGCGGUUCGGUAAGUCGGGUGUGAAAACUCUGGGCUCAACCCAGAGAGGCCACCCGAUACUGCUGUGACUAGAGUGCGGUAGGGGAGCGGGGAAUUCCGGGUGUAGCGGUGGAAUGCGUAGAGAUCCGGAAGAACACCGGUGGCGAAAGCACUCUGCUGGGCCGACACUGACACUGAGAGACGAAAGCUAGGGGAGCAAACAGG